AAGUCGAGCGCCCUGCUUGCAGGGAGCGGCAGACGGGUUAGUAACGCGUGGGAACGUGCCCUUCGGUGCGGAAAAACAGUUAGAAAUGACUGCUAAUACCGCAUACGACCUCCGGGUGAAAGAUUUAUCGCCGAAGGAUCGGCCCGCGUUAGAUUAGGUAGUUGGUGGGGUAAAGGCCUACCAAGCCUACGAUCUAUAGCUGUUCUGAGAGGAAGAUCAGCAACACUGGGACUGAGACACGGCCCAGACUCCUACGGGAGGCAGCAGUGGGGAAUAUUGGACAAUGGGCGCAAGCCUGAUCCAGCCAUGCCGCGUGGAUGAAGAAGGCCCUAGGGUUGUAAAGUCCUUUCACCGCCGAGGAUAAUGACGGUAGGCGGAGAAGAAGCCCCGGCUAAUUUCGUGCCAGCAGCCGCGGUAAUACGAAAGGGGCUAGCGUUGUUCGGAAUUACUGGGCGUAAAGCGCGCGUAGGCGGCAUUGUAAGUUGGGGGGUGAAAUCCCGGAGCUCAACUCCGGAACUGCCUCCAAAACUACAAAGCUAGAGGCCGUGAGAGGAGAGUGGAAUUCCGAGUGUAAGAGGUGAAAUUCGUAGAUAUUCGGAGGAACACCAGUGGCGAAGGCGACUCUCUGGCACGGUUCUGACGCUGAGGCGCGAAAGCGUGGGGGAGCAAACAGGA
rnacentral:rRNA from 1 species